GCUCAGUCAUAUAUGAGAUUACCGUGUCAUUUCUUUUAAAGUUCUCUUUUGUGCAUUUAGUUUUCCUUGGUUCGCUUCAGGGACUCUAUUAAUGUUUCAAACUAGAAUAAAGUUAUCCUGAAGACGUGCGGAUUCACCAAGUUUCUUGUGUCAGCUGCUCUUGCUGGUGCUCCUGCAUGGGAUUUCAGACGUACUCUUUAUGAAAAGAAGUAACCCAAAUUGAAGCAAAACUCUCUGUUUGAGAGUCGAGACAAGCUUGGGAGAUUUACGGUUGAUCACUUCCAAGGAUUGCGUAGUGUAUCAGCUGCAACGUCGACAAACCAAUUAUUAAUUGAAUAUUGGUUGAUGGGGUCCACUUCAGGAGCUUGCGCACCAGAACUUACAGGAAAGGCCGAUGGAUCUGUGAGGAAGACAUCAAAGUCAGGAAUGACAGAAGCAGGGAGAGGUAAAUCAAAC